rnacentral:rRNA from 1 species
UACGUAGGGUGCGAGCGUUGCCCGGAUUUAUUGGGCGUAAAGGGCGCGCAGGCGGCUACGCACGUCCGUUGUGAAAUCGCUCGGCUCAACUGGGCGGGGUCAGCGGAUACGGCGUAGCUGGAGCAAGCUAGGGGGCAAUGGAAUUCCCGGUGUAGUGGUGGAAUGCGCAGAUAUCAGGAGGAACACCGAUGGCGAAGGCAGGUCUCUGGGCCACUACUGACGCUGAGAAGCGAAAGCAUGGGGAGCGAACAGG